rnacentral:tRNA from 1 species
GCCUGGCUGGCUCAGUCAGUAGAGCAAGUGACUCUUGAUCUCGCAGUUGUGGGUUUGAGCCCCACACUGAGCG